CCUGAUAACACUGAUUGGGUUAUAUCUAAAGGAGACUAAGAGGGACUAACUAAUAUAUUUACCAUAAACAGUUUGAUGUUAUAUGGGUUCUCUUGGGUGUAAUUGGGUUGAUGGGUAGUAUAGCUAUAAGCUAAUGAUUCAUUAUUGAUGAUAGUGGAAGAUGGCAUGGCCGUGGAUAUAGUCUUAUGUUGAGAGGGUGAACCACAUA
rnacentral:misc_RNA from 1 species